rnacentral:rRNA from 1 species
GUAGGUGGCAAGCGUUGUCCGGAUUUAUUGGGCGUAAAGCGAGCGCAGGCGGAAAAAUAAGUCUAAUGUGAAAGCCCUCGGCUUAACCGAGGAACUGCAUCGGAAACUGUUUUUCUUGAGUGCAGAAGAGGAGAGUGGAACUCCAUGUGUAGCGGUGGAAUGCGUAGAUAUAUGGAAGAACACCAGUGGCGAAGGCGGCUCUCUGGUCUGCAACUGACGCUGAGGCUCGAAAGCAUGGGUAGCGAACAGGAUUAGAUACCCUGGUAGUCCAUGCCGUAAACGAUGAGUGCUAAGUGUUGGGAGGUUUCCGCCUCUCAGUGCUGCAGCUAACGCAUUAAGCACUCCGCCUGGGGAGUACGACCGCAAGGUUG